ensembl:snoRNA SNORD15 Small nucleolar RNA SNORD15
CUUCAAUGAAGAGAUGAUGACGAGUCUGAAUGGGGAUGUUCUUUGUCCAGGCGGCCUUACUCUGGCUGCGUUCUGUAGCACAGUUUAAAGGGCCCUGGGCAAAGUCAUUCCUAAAGAUGACCUAGAGGCAUUUGUCUGAGAAGG